rnacentral:misc_RNA from 1 species
UCGCAAUAAUGGUUUUAGAGGAGUAUUUUUUGUAGUAGUUGGAUCCUAUCGAGUGAACGUAGGGUUAAUAAUAAAAAUAAUGAAUAUGUUCAUAUUAAGCAAUAGAACGUAAUUAGUGCUACCUUUUUGUUAUUUUAAGUUGUACGUCUGUUUUAGUGGUCUGGUUAUCACAUUUAUGUUAAUUACACAAAUUGGUAAAAUUUAAACUUUUCCAUGCUACGCACUUCACUGGACUCGUUUUUGUCCCGGAGAAUACUACUACUAUUGGAUUAUACAACAUAUAGGGCGGAUUUUACGGUUAAGCCUAACGUUGGAAAAAUUAUCUACUACUACCAGCGGAAGUUAUCAAAAUAGGAAAAACGGAACCCUCACUUUUUUAGCGUAUUUCAUAUUCAGUUUCUGAUACAAUAGAAGAAUGAAUGAGCUGGAAAGUCUAAGACAAGAAGCAGAAACACUAAAGAAUACAAUUCACGAUGCAAGGAAAGCUGUAUGUGAUACCACAUUGGCUCAGGCCACUGCAUCUAUGGAACCAGUUGGUAGAAUACAAAUGCGAACAAGACGAACCCUUCGGGGUCAUCUGGCUAAAAUAUAUGCCAUGCACUGGGGAUCAGAUUCACGAUACCUUGUUUCUGCCUCUCAAGAUGGAAAAUUAAUUAUAUGGGAUGCUUUCACAACAAAUAAGGUCCAUGCCAUUCCUCUCCGCUCCAGCUGGGUCAUGACUUGUGCAUAUGCUCCAUCAGGCAGUUUUGUUGCCUGUGGAGGUUUAGACAACAUCUGCUCUAUCUACAGCUUAAAGACACGAGAAGGAAAUGUAAGAGUUAGUAGGGAGCUACCUGGACACACGGGUUAUUUGUCUUGUUGUCGCUUCAUUGAUGAUAACCAGAUAGUCACGAGCUCUGGUGAUAUGACUUGUGCUUUGUGGGACAUUGAAACUGGUCAGCUCUGCACUUCAUUUACUGGUCAUUCUGGUGAUGUCAUGUCCCUCUCUCUCUCUCCAGACAUGAGAACAUUCAUCUCUGGAGCUUGUGAUGCUUCAGCAAAGUUAUGGGAUAAUCGAGAUGGAAUGUGCAAACAGACCUUCCCAGGACAUGAAUCUGACAUAAAUGCUGUCACAUUUUUUCCCAAUGGUUAUGCUUUUGUUACGGGAUCAGAUGAUGCAACGUGUCGGUUGUUUGACAUCCGCGCAGACCAAGAGUUAGCUAUCUAUUCUCAUGAUAACAUCAUUUGCGGUAUUACAUCCGUUGCCUUUUCCACAAGUGGCCGACUCUUGUUGGCAGGAUACGAUGACUUUAACUGUAAUGUGUGGGAUUCCAUGAAAGCUGAGAGAGCUGGUGUCCUGGCUGGACAUGAUAAUCGUGUCAGCUGCCUGGGUGUUACAGAAGAUGGCAUGGCUGUAGCAACAGGUUCAUGGGAUAGCUUCUUAAAAAUCUGGAACUAAAGCACAACUCCUCUCAAAACAACUGUCUUUUCUCAACAAGCUACUAGUACUGCUAAAUAUAUAUAUGACAUGAACUUGAUAUUUAGAUUUAAAAGGAAGGCUUUGACACUGUUAAUUUUGUCAUAAUUGUGCAGUUUUGUAAAUAUUGUUUCAACUGUUAAACACUUGCAAUUUCAAUCAUUUUGAUGUUUAGUUUUAGUUGUGUAUGUGGUGAUGCAUUCCAAUUUAGAAAACAUAAAAUCAUUAGCAAGCUUAAUUAAGGAGAUCCUUUAGCCAAUAUUCACAAAAUGUUAAAUUAAUAAAAUUCUAAUCAGCUGAGAGUGUAGGAAAUGUUUAUUUUUAGUACUUUUUCUCUCUUGUGUUUUUCUAGAAAAUAUAUUCUUAGUCCUUUUUUUUUCCUUAAUGCAUUUUUGUUAGAAAAAAAAAUCUCCUUAAUUCUAGUCAGCAAAGUUGGAAAAUAAAAAUACAUCUUUCUGGUUUAUCUACAGGGUUCUCUUCAGAAAAGAAGAGCUCUACAAUUAAACAAUAUUUCAGAAACAAGAGCUCUACAAUUAAGCAGUAUUUCAGACUGGUCAUGCAAACAAAGUGAGUGUACCAGUUCAGGCCUGAAAACACUGAUAAAAAUAUCAUUAACCAUUGUGCACAUAAUAUCAAGUAUUUGCACUUUUGUAUUGUGCCAGGUGCAUAUAAAUGGUAUAGACAAUUUUUGGUAUAUGGGAAAACAACAACAUUCACUUGUGUUCAACACAUGGUAAAUAGUUCAUUAACAUUUACCUCUGAAAAUUUAUUGAUGGGUACAUGUUUUAGAGUUUUGGUGCACAAGAAAGUGUACUGAUAUCAAUAUGCUAAAAAAAAGGGCUGGGGAGAAUCCUGAUGUACUUGAAAAAUACCUUGUAUUGUUAUUGUUGGGAUUUGUAUUCUUUAAACAUUUUUGUGGUUUGGAAGAUGUGUAGAUGGAAUGAUGUAUAAGAAGUUGGUAGCUAACAUUUAGGAAUGUUUGUAGCAACAUCACUUUUCAUCAUACAUGCACUGAUUUUUGACUCGCAUGAAUUUUGUUGCAUUGAACCUUUCUACAUGUUUUCUAUGUUGCCAGCUUGAUUAAGGUAAUGUUAUUUCACAAACACAAUUAAUAAAACACGUUUCUAAAAUAACUGUAAUUAUAUACAUGUUUGUAGUAUACUAUGAGGUGCCAUGAUUAUGUACAUAUAUAAAUUUCUUCCUUUGUCCAUCCUUUCUGAAAUCAUUUAAUCUUAGUGUCUGUACCUUUGUGAUUUAUUUAGUAAAAUAUUAGCUUUUUUUGUAUCAUCUUUACAGUUUUGUCAGCUUCUUGGGACCACAAAUUCUUGCACAUGGUUUCAAAUUAAUUUGUGUUGUCCUGAAACUAUGCUGCUGUUUUCAAUGAAUCUUGUUUCUGUUGUAACUGUGAGGAGUUCAGUAGUGCAAAUGUUAAACAAGAAGUGAUAACUUUAUCACUUUUUUCUUACAGGAAUAGUGGCUAUAUCAGUAAUGUUUGAGUUAAAAAAAGCUUACUCUCCUUUUUCUUUACAAAUGAAAUAGGAAAGAUUACAUGUAACUACUUGUUCUGAGAGUCCUACUGGCUAUAAUUAUGAUAAUGAUUUUUUUUUUUGAUGAAUGCAUAUUAAAAAUGUAUUAAGUUAUUCUCAUCAUAUCUUUUUCCUUCCAAGAAAACAAAAUUCGUAUUUAUUUUGGCUGUUACAGGACUUUUUUCAUAUUUUGUAGUAUCAGGAUUACCUUUUUCUGCCCCAAUGAAAUUGUAUUUGUGACUUCUUUUGACAAGUUUCUGAUAUUUUGUCAAAGGUCUUUUGUCAAGAUAGGAGGUUGACCAAACAGUUUUUGUUAUUGUACUGGUGUAUGCCUGCAUGUGCAAGGACAUUGUAAUGUUAAAGGUAACCAGUAGAAUGGCUUAGUAUUUCUGUGCAAUUUUUACAUUAAAAUUUAGCCAUAAUAAAAAAAAAAUAACAGGUUUCCUGACCUAAAAAAUUUAAAAGAGUAUCAUUAUACUUGUAAAUUAUUUUGGUUACAUUUAGAAAGUUAUCACUCUUAAGUUACACUUCAUUAUAAUAAUGCAAAGUACUUUGCUAGCUUACUAAUUUUUUUCUCAUCUGAUGGUAUUUUUAGAUGGAUUUUCAAAUAAGCAGAUUCUGACUACCUAACUUGGAGGCUUUUUAAAUAACAAAAGAAGAGAUACUGUUAUGUAGAUUUUCUUUCUUAGCUAUUUUGUUUUGCAAAACUCUGUCAGCUGUGUGAAAGGUUAUUUGGUUUGUGUUAUAUUGGUCUUUUGACUUUUGCAUAUUUAGUGUAGACUUGAUAAUAAUUAUUCUGAAAUAAUUUUUCAAGGCAUAACUGUUAACUUUAUGUUCCAGAUGGAGAAGUAACAUUAAGGACGUGCCCUCUCCUAAAUUUUUAGAUAAUAGAUUGAUAUAGGGACUAAAAGUGAUUUCUGUGUGAAUGUUCUUUCAAUAAUGAACUUAUCUUUAUGAUCUGAUUUUGACUAUACUUUAAUAGAUGCACAAUAAGCUCUUUACAAUUUUUCUAAGAGCAGCACACUAUCUGUCUGUGUACCUAUCUUAUGUAUGUAAUUUUUUUAUAGUUCUUACAUGUUUUUGAUCUUUUUGUUAAAGGAAGUGAAAUGGUUUUUCCCAACUAACUGUUUUGUAAAAAGAAGUAUUUUUUCUCUAAUUUAUUUUGUAUAGGAGAAAAAUGCUGCCUGCUAAUGAACUAAGUUCUUUGUUGAAACAAAGAGCUCUAGUUCAAAAAUUGAAUGUUCGAUAGAUGUUAGCUUUCUCGUGUUUCAUAUGGUUAUAGAAUUAAGUAUUAUUACAGCUAUUUGGCUGGUUUAUUAUAGGAUAUAAUGUAAAAAUGUCCUAUAUUUGAUCCAAGUAUCCUUAGAUGUACAAGUUAAUUGAUUGCUGAAAGUCAUUAUGUUACACACAAAAUUCAUAAUCUUGAGGUAUUGUGGUUUCACAAAAGUUCUUGUACUACAUAAUUAUAUGCCUGGGGCAUUCUCUACUAAGAUGAUGAUGUUUUAGAUUUUACAUUGAGAAAAGUGUCAUAUUGAAUCUGUAAUAGUCUGUAUGGUUAUACAAAGGAAAGUAUCAUCUUGAAUCUGUAAUAGUCUGUAUGGUUAUACAAAGGAAAGUUUCAUCUUGAAUCUGUAAUAGUCCGUAUGGUUAUACAAAGGAAAGUAUCAUCUUGAAUCUGUAAUAGUCUGUAUGGUUAUACAAAGGAAAGUAUCUUGAAUCUGUAAUAGUAUGUAUGGUUAUACAAAGGAAAGUAUCAUCUUGAAUCUGUAAUAGUAUGUAUGGUUAUACAAAGGAAAGUAUCAUCUUGAAUCUGUAAUAGUCUGUAUGGUUAUACAAAGGAAAGUUUCAUCAUGAAUCAUGUUUUCAUUAUUAGCUGGUAUUGUGAAUGUCAAGCUUCCUGGUUGUAUGUGGCAUAAAAAAAAAUGAUUCCAUUAGAGUAUUUUUGACAAGUCUGUCAUUUCAGGAGCGAAAAAGAUUGUGACAGUAGUAGAUUUGACAAAUGUAAAAGCCUUUUUUAUAUACCGUUAGUUAAAGGAAGAUGGAGUGAACAAAAAAUCUUGGCUGCACAUUUCAGUCAAUAUCGACUUUAGUCAGUAGCUUUUCAUCUUGAUUGUGCAUGUAAUCAAACUUGUGUAAUAAAACUUUGUUCUACACUGUU